rnacentral:rRNA from 1 species
GACGAACGCUGGCGGCGUGCCUAAUACAUGCAAGUCGAGCGGGCCUCCGGAGGUGCUUGCACCUCCGGAAGGCCAGCGGCGGACGGGUGAGUAACACGUGGGCAACCUGCCUUUGAGGCCGGGAUAACACCGGGAAACCGGUGCUAAUACCGGAUGCGUCCCCUUUCGCGCCUGCGAGAGGGGAGAAAGACGGUCUUUAAGGCCGUCGCUCAAAGAGGGGCCCGCGGCGCAUUAGCUGGUUGGUGGGGUAAGGGCCUACCAAGGGGACGAUGGCGUGGCGACCUGAGAGGGGGGACGGCCACACUGGGACUGAGACACGGCCCAGACUCCUGCGGGAGGCAGCAGUAGGGAAUCAUCCGGAAUGGGCGAAAGCCGGACGGUGCAACGCCGCGUGAGUGAGGAAGGUUUUCGGAUCGUAAAGCUCUGUUGUGAGGGAAGAACAGCUUCCGGAGGAAAUGCCGGAGGUUUGCCGGUACCUCACCAGAAAGCCCCGGCUAACUACGUGCCAGCCGCCGCAGUAAAAC